UGCACACUUCUCUCCACUUUUUUUCUUUCUUUUUUUGCUUUUCCCACCCCCAGACUGACUACCUGGGUGAAACUUGACAACUGAGCUGCUUCAUGACCAUGUGGGUCAAAUGCUUGGAUUUUGGAUCAUUUUAGAUGGAAGAGCAGAACAGAAAUUGAAUCACGCAGUGUGUUUAGAGGGAGCCACUCAACCCCCCACCAGUGUUUCCGUAUACCUGCGGUGUUAUCAUGAAGCCCUUCGAGCCUGCAUAAACCAGAAUCAAAGAAAUAAUGCUUUAACAGAAAGAGACCCAAUAGGGCCCAGCAGGUGAAUGUAAAGAAACGCGAGAGGACUCCCCUCCGAUCAGCCUUUCAGACCCGGACAAAGGGCCGGCCCACCUCUUGUACAGCUGCUUUAAAAACCCUGAUUAAAGCUCUUCCUGUUAGCGAUUGAUUGAGGAUGCAAAACUAAAACCAACAAAAACCCACACUGCUGAGGCCUGAUAAUGACUGGGCCCCACCUACAAAGCACAGGCUUCAAAUGAUUAGUGGGUUUUGUUUUCUUAGUAGGUGUGUGAGUGUGACUGUUUGUGUGUGACUGUUUGUGUGUGUGUGUGUGUGUGUGUGUGUGUGUGUGUGUGUGUGUGUGUGUGUGUGUGUGUGUGUGUGUGUGUGUGUGUGUGUGUGAGAGAGGUGAGGGAUACCCGGAGGUCUUCAGACUUUAGCUCUAAUUAAUCAACAGGCUCUCUUGGAAAAAAAAAAAAAUCUUUCUUUCUUUCUUUCUUUCUUUCUUUCUUUCUUUCUUUCUUUCUUUCUUUCUUUCUCUGUAUUACUAUUAGCAAUGACAGUGUGUAUAUCUGUUUACCACCUGUGCAAGUGCAUGUUGGGUGUUAUGUGUCAAUAGCUUGAUGAGUGGGCAUAAUAAAUCUUACUUUGAUCUAAUAUUUCAUAAAUACAAAUAUAUGAUUUUUAUACACAUUUAAUAUCAAACAUCAAGUCAUCUGUUGAAUUUAAAUAUUGGUUAAGUAAUUUUAUUUUAUUUUCCUUGUUUCUACCAACCUUUCGUCAGGAUUUGUGUACACUCUCAUAAUAGUGAAGAUAAAAUAGAAAAGAAUUCAAGGUCCUACAAAAAAAGAGUAUCAAAAAGCACAUUGUGAAGUGGAUUGCUGCAGUUUUCUUUCAAUUUUCAGGUAUAAACACUGAACAUUAUAUGAAGCGGUCAGUGUGUUGUACUGUACCUGUAGUCCUUCAAUCAUCAAAACCAUUACGAGUAGAAGAAGAAUAAAAAUCCUCUCCCGUGUGCUCGAGCUCUGUUAAGACUUGCACAUGCUUAUCAUAAUCAUGUUUUGAAGUGUGGAUUUUUAAACACUCUUGUCAUUGUUAUGUAAACAGCCUUUUUUGCAUGUUAAUCCCUUUACGAGAGAACGUUAGGGAGAUGCAUGACGACAUGGGAAAUGAUUUGUGGAGAAGGCGCUGAGAAGACUUGAACAAUAUGCGUGCAUGUUUGUGUCGCCGUGUGUGUGUGUGUGUGUCUGUGUGUGUGUGUGUGUGUGUGUUUGUGUGUGUGUGUGUGUGUGUGUGUGUGUGUGUGUGUCUAGAGAGAGAGAGAGAGAGAGAGGUUCUUCAAGAAUCCAUAAAUAUUGCAUUUCUUUGUUUGACGGAUGUUUGACACAUUUUCAUGUUUCCUCAACAAAUUCCACUGUCAUAUUUUUCCUUUUGUCAGUCAUCUUCCAAACAGCAGAUCCUGACAAUUAUCCCAGAGAAACUCUGAUCAAAACCACCUUAUUCUGUCUGCUGCUCGGCUCCAUCACACACUCAUCCUGCAUCACUCUCUUCUUCCUCUCACACAAUCUUUAUUUGAUUCCAGCUCUGUAUAUUACACCACUUAUCAGUUCAAAUGCAAAAAUUACAUUUACAAAGUGUUUGUGUCAUCUAUAUUUCACACAUUUUGUAAUGUCUAUUUGUUGAUGCACAGCACAGUUAUUACAGUGUUGCUGCGGAGUGAUUGUCGUGAGGCUUCCCUCUGUACUGUAUUGUAACGAAGCAGCUAAUUCACAGUCUCAACAGAGGAGGGCAUUAUGCAUUUGGCUUAAUGUGAGUCAUUUUUAAUGAUGGGAUGGACUUGUCAGCAAAAAUAAUGCUAAUAAUGGCUUGGAGAAAUAUUAAAAAUACAUUUUCAGCUAAUUAUUGACAAGGUUUAUCUUUUGAAGAAUAGUUAGUUGGAUGUGAAUUUGAUUUGUCGAAUCAUAUUUUCUUGCAUAAUAGCAAGGAGCA